UUUUCCGUAAGGCCAGCGGCUGAGAGGGGGCUGGGCCGCUGCAGCAGAUGAAAAGCCUUCCAGGACCGUCCAACCUUCCCAGGAAUGCCCAGAAUUCCAGUUCCUAAUUAUGACAUCCACGGAGAAGAGGCCCAACACCCCUCUCUGCCACCACAACGGCAAUUACAAACACACACUUGGCACUUUGCAGGUGUGGCGAACUUGACCCACUUUCUGGAGGUGUUUGGGAUCAAUUCACAGGUAAGGCUAAAAGGUAAAAUUGGAGGUGCAGCAGCAGACAAACUGUUUAAAUUGCUUUUAAAGUAGUCAAAUAUUAAGCAGCAGAUUCAGGAGUUGUAUAACAGUAUUCAUUAGAAGUUGUAUUCGAGUCAAUAAUCUCAAGAUUCACUCUUUUAGCUCUGCUUUUGGUCUCCACCUACUCAGGAGAAAAAUAUGGCUCAUGGCUACCAGAGAGUCCAUCAGCUGUCCAGCAGAAAGUGCAGAGCUUUACACAGACAGAUUGACAGUUGCAAACCAUUUAAGUUCUAGCCAGAAAAUCAAAUCAGUGGUUAUAGAACUGCACUGGGAUAUGUGCAAAGUUAGCUGAUAAUUCUCAUAGGAGAGAUCACUAACGCCACAGAUGUUCCUUAAUGAACUUACUUUCUAACUAGCGUCCUGUUCCUAUAUUUCCAUUUGGAUCGAGCGGCACAGAGCCGGUUAAUGGGUUUGUCAGCCGCGACUUUUUAUACAACCUCUUUGGGACGCAACGUCUGUGGUGAGAGUUGUGGGAGGUAUGAACACGAGUGUCUCUAUUUGCUCUGUACAUUUUGUUCCUCGGGGGAAAUCUCCCUGAUUAAGUGCUACUAUUUUGACAAUAUGUCAACUCAUGGGGAGCAAAGAUGAAUUUAUGUGCUUGGCUGUUCUGUAAACAGCUUUGCUGACCAACAUGUUCCCGACCUCAUCCCAGCGCUGCCUGAAAAAAAACAGAGAAAAACGGCCUGAAGACUGCCUUUAAUUCUGCUGUCAGACUGUAAAACUGUAGUGAAUUGUUUUAAUUAGAUGCCAUGAAGUGCCCUCUCAUUUUUCUUUUUAUCUUCUAAACAAAUUUGCGGCGUAGCAUCAGUGAGUGUGCAUCAAUCUCUGAGACCAAAAUACAGCAGUACCUAAAAUGCAUAUGUAUGUUUCUUUAUUUUUAGGAUCAAGCCCCUGGCCAGACCACUCUGUGAGUCACUGUGGGAAUAAAAGGGCCCUUUGCUAGAGAUGGCA
rnacentral:lncRNA from 1 species